AAUGCGAGCGUAAAUAAAGCGAAAUAGAAAAAAAUGAAGAAGAAACAAAUGUAAAAAAGAAAAUUACGAUAAUAAGCGACAAAAGUAUCCUCAUGUAAAUUCCAGACAUAUAGAAAGAAUCAUAUGCAAAGAAUAAGAGAAAAAAUAGAAAGAUAAACCCGCACAUAAGUCAAACGCAUAAGUGAAUAAAAAAAAGAUAAUAACAAAAAAAAAUAUAAAAACUAUUGCGGAUAAAGUCAAGCGAGGCUUAAUAAAAAAUGUUAUAAAAACUACGUAUAGACUAAUUGAUUGGGUUUGAAGGAGAGAAUUUGAAUUGUUGUUGCUACGAAGUGUUUUUCGUUCAAAAAUAUUUGCAAAGCAUCAUCGACUUAAAUAGUCAUGGGAGCGAGGAAGAGCACAUAAAUGCAAUAUCAAGUUAUGAAACAAUAACAAUAAAUUAAUUUCUUAUGAAAUUAACAUGCGCAGCAUAUUCUUGUUUACUGCUGGCGCAAAUGAUUGAAACUGGAACAUGAACGUUGCAUUUGGAAAGUCGGUUAUUGCCACAUCAGUAAUAAAAAGGCACAUUUGUGAAGAUAUUCUCCCCUUUUGACUUGCUUUUAUUAUUGCUAUUAUUUUUAAAACAAUUCUUACUUUUUGGCUGUUUGAGAGCACCAAAUAAAAAAAAUAUAUGCAUAUAUCAUAAUAAUAACAGUAUUAACAAAAACAAGCAUGAGUGUUUAUUCGUCGGACAGUGGAAUUGAGCAACGAGAACCAACAGCUGCUAAACAACGACGCAAUGAAGUUUGUUACCAUCAAAACAACAACGUCAAUAAUCUGACACAAUAAUCAGCCAUCAGCCGUCAAAUGGGCGAAUGAGGAAAUACUGCAAAAAUGAGUAAAUGAAAUGAAUAAAGCAAAUAUAGAACCGUCAUACACAUUGGAAGUUGAAAUAAUUUUUUUGCUGUUGUUGCUUAAAAUGCAGCAGCUACAACGCAAUGCAAGAAAAGGAGAACGACAAAAGAAAACGACUAAUAAAUACUGUGCUUGAUUAUUUCUGGCUUAAAGCAAUCUCAAAUUCUGCUACACUGUGCCAAAACACAAAUCAGCGACGAUGAUAACAAAACACGACACGAAAAAGCGUGGGGAGACCAGGGGCGUAGUCAGCGAUGUUAAAUGAGCGCUGGCAAAGAAGAGUACGC